GAUGAACGCUGGCGGCGUGCCUAAUACAUGCAAGUCGAACGAACGGGCGACAAGCUUGCUUUUCUGAUGUUAGCGGCGGACGGGUGAGUAACACGUGGAUAACCUACCUAUAAGACUUGGAUAACUUCGGGAAACCGUAGCUAAUACCGGAUAAUACUUUGAACCGCAUGGUUCAAAAGUGAAAGACGGUCUUGCUGUCGCUUAUAGAUGUAUCCGCGCUUCAUUAGCUAGUUGGUAAGGUAACGGCUUACCAAGGCAACGAUGCAUAGCCGACCUGAGCGGGUGUUCGGCCACACUGGGACUGAGAGACGGUCCAGACUCCGACGGGAGGCAGCAGUAGGGAAUGUUCGGAGAUGGGCGAAAGCCUGACGGAGCAACGCCGCGUGAGUGAUGCAGGUCUUCGGAUCGUAAAACUGUGUUAUUAGGGAAGAACAUAUGUGUAAGUAACUGUGCACAGCUUGACGGUACCUAAUAAGAAAGCACCGGCUAACUACGUG
rnacentral:rRNA from 1 species